AUGAAGACCAGUCCAAAACAUUGCGUCAUUUAGUAUUUAGCACGCGCUAGAGUGAUUCAAAACAUCGAAUUUGACCGACACUGAACAGAGAUAAAACCCAGAUGUAUACAUGGCCUGGAUUUCCAUAUUAUGCUGCCCAGAAUAAAAGACGAUGCAGUCCAGAUAAAAACAUUGUAUGGCUCAAUAAUCUUUACCAAACUUGAUGCAUCAUGAUCAGAUGAAGUCUUUGACUAUCUAGAAAGGGAUUUUGUAAGCUAGUACUGGACAUGAAGACAGUCACUUGGAAAUGAUGAUUGUGCAACAGCGGUUAAACAUAUGCAAUACAUCAUAUGGUGACCAGACAGGGAGGAAACUAGGGAAAUGGUUAUCCACCAACAGCCCAAGUGCUUGGUUGAUAAGAGGAGCCACAGCAUUAAACAUUACUGCACAAAGUGGUGUGCUUUGCUAACACUUAUGAUUGUGAUUUGAUAAAAAAGCAAUGAAUGAACGCUCAUUAUUCAUAACUAUAACUAAAACAUUGAUGUCAAAAGUUGUCAAUUUUCAACAUAUAUAGUAUUUGAGAUCCUGAUCUAUAGUUGUGUGCAAUGGAUUAUCAAAGAAAAACAAAAGAGUGGGCAACAAAAUGAAUAGCAUAAUGCAGCAGUCAAUUGUAACCACAUCCCGCCCCCAGGUCCGGGGACUUUUGACUUUUGGUCCAGCCUACCCCAGGUUAAAUUCCCUGAACUGAUCCUGAACUAAAAUCCCUGCCAAAUUCCCCCAUAUCCAACAUACCAUAGGUAAGACAAAACCACCGCAUUCACACCCAGUAUACCCCCGGACAGGGGUGGUGGUGGUCACAAUUGACAUGUGCAUUACCCACUACCCAUUUACACCAGUAAUUCAUAAUUAUAUUUGUUAGACAUGCCUCUUGUCAAAGGUUUUGAAGGGUAUGAACGUCAGAACUACCUGCCUAUGGCCUUUCAAGAUUUUAUAACAUUGUUAAACUAAAGAAAUCAUUAUUAAGUUUAUACUAGAUCUUUGUUAAGAGUGACCCCUUUGAUAAUUCUGGAGAAAAACUAUUAGGAUUAGGUUCUGUAUUUGUCCAUAAUUUGUCAUAUGACAUGUAAGCAGGAGUUCAUUCCUUCAAAGAAUUGUGAAUCUUAUAUAAUUAUGUAUUUGACAUCUUAUGAAUUUUAUCACACUUUAACCUAGAGGCAGUUCAAAUAAAUACUGCUAUGAUUGAACCAAUACUGAAUAAGGGCAAGAAUUCCAAACAAGACAGUAUACAUCUAGUAUCAUGUUUGUCUGAUAAUUUUGAAAUCAUAGUGAUUAAAUCUAAAAGGAUGUUAAAGCUGCACUGUCACUGAUUAAGAGUUUUCACAUUUGCUUUGAAAAAAAUAAUUAAAAUAGUCUGACUUUUGCAUGAAUGCCUUCAAUCCAGUUAUAUAAGAUAACUCUCAAUGAAACAGAAUUCAAUUGUCUGAAAAACUGCCAAAAUUUUCAUUUCUUCUCAAGCAUUACUAACCAUUAAACAUAGAGUUUUAAAUGGUAAUAGGAAAAACUGUGAUUUUGUAUGCAGUCUCGUAUAACUGUUAUCAGACAUGUGCACAAAAGUUUUUCAUUCCAAGUUAAAAAUAAUAAAAAUUCAUAUAUAUCUGUGAGAGUGCAGCAUUAACAAUGAAAACAAUUACUAAAAAUGGUAUUUCCAACUGUGUAUAAUAAUGCAACAACAAUUUACCUUCAACUAGCACAUUGAAUUACAAGUUCUGCUUUUUCAAAGAAAACGGGCAUAUGGGAAGUACCAUCACUAACAGCGAUAUUUUUGUUGUAGCUUUUUUUUUAUAAGAGACAUUGGCAAAAACUGUUCAUAGAUUGUGUUUUAAGGUGUAUGUUUUAUAGACAGUACUCCAAUUCUCUUUAAUAUAUGAUAUAUGUUUGUUUCAUUUAAGGCUUUUGUGUGUUUUAGGGCUGUUUCAGACCAUUCCUGAUAUCAUAUUUUCAUAUAAACCCGGCAAUCAUAAUUGCAUAGCUCUUUGCAAAAGAAUAAUAAACAUUCACAGAAAUUAAACAGUAACGGAAUUUUUCGAAUUUUUCUCAACAUAAGAAGAGACUUUUGUAUUUUGGCCCAGCUAAUGUUAUUAUAUUGUUGACUAACAUAAGCUUACAAGCAAAUUAACAGGCAGAAUAGAUAAGGAAAA